GAUGAACGCUAGCGGCAGGCCUAAUACAUGCAAGUCGGACGGGAUCCAUUGAUAGCUUGCUAUCAAUGGUGAGAGUGGCGCACGGGUGCGUAACGCGUGAGCAACCUGCCUCCAUCAGGGGGAUAGCCUCUCGAAAGAGAGAUUAACACCGCAUAAUAUCAACAGUUCGCAUGUUCAGUUGAUUAAAUAUUUAUAGGAUGGAGAUGGGCUCGCGUGACAUUAGCUAGUUGGUAGGGUAACGGCUUACCAAGGCGACGAUGUCUAGGGGCUCUGAGAGGAGAAUCCCCCACACUGGUACUGAGACACGGACCAGACUCCUACGGGAGGCAGCAGUAAGGAAUAUUGGUCAAUGGGCGGAAGCCUGAACCAGCCAUGCCGCGUGCAGGAUGACUGCCCUAUGGGUUGUAAACUGCUUUUGUCCAGGAAUAAACCUAAAUACGAGUAUUUAGCUGAAUGUACUGGAAGAAUAAGGAUCGGCUAACUCCGUG
rnacentral:rRNA from 1 species